rnacentral:rRNA from 1 species
UGAGGAAUUUUGCGCAAUGGGAGCAAUCCUGACGCAGCAACGCCGCGUGGGUGAUGAAGGCCUUCGGGUCGUAAAGCCCUGUCAGGUGGGAAGAAUGUCCCGGGACUGAACAGGUUCCGGGAGUGACGGUACCACCAGAGGAAGCACCGGCUAACUCCGUGCCAGCAGCCGCGGUAAUACGGAGGGUGCCAGCGUUAUUCGGAAUUACUGGGCGUAAAGCGCGUGUCGGCGGUCCUGCAAGGCUGAUGUGAAAGCCCCGGGCUUAACCCGGGAAGUGCAUUGGAAGCUGUGGGACUUGAGUACUGGAGAGGAUGGGGGAAUUCCCGGUGUAGAGGUGAAAUUCGUAGAGAUCGGGAGGAAUAUCAGUGGCGAAGGCGCCCAUCUGGACGGUAACUGACGCUGAGACGCGAAAGCGUGGGGAGCAAACA